CCUACGGGUGGCUGCAGUGGGGAAUCUUAGACAAUGGGGGAAACCCUGAUCUAGCCAUGCCGCGUGAUCGAUGAAGGCCUUAGGGUUGUAAAGAUCUUUCAGUGGGGAAGAUAAUGACGGUACCCACAGAAGAAGCCCCGGCUAACUCCGUGCCAGCAGCCGCGGUAAUACGGAGGGGGCUAGCGUUGUUCGGAAUUACUGGGCGUAAAGCGCACGUAGGCGGACCGGAAAGUCAGAGGUGAAAUCCCAGGGCUCAACCUUGGAACUGCCUUUGAAACUCCUGGUCUUGAGGUCGAGAGAGGUGAGUGGAAUUCCGAGUGUAGAGGUGAAAUUCGUAGAUAUUCGGAGGAACACCAGUGGCGAAGGCGGCUCACUGGCUCGAUACUGACGCUGAGGUGCGAAAGCGUGGGGAGCAAACAGGAUUAGAUACCCGAGUAGUC
rnacentral:rRNA from 1 species